AUAUUCCAUUUAAAUGAAGAAUGCAUUUUGAUCUAAAACAAACAGAUUGUCCGUUAAAAUUUAGUACGUGUAUAUGAAAAUUAUUUACAUAUAUUCCUGAUCUAAAUUGAAUUUAGUAAGGAUCAUAUUCUAAUUCUCUUUUGGUGUUAAUAUCAGCUGCGUUUUCGGUGAGGUCUGAAAUCCUUCCAUUGUUUUGAGCAGUGUAGCAUGGCGGGAUCUUGAUAAAGUAUUCCAUAAAAUGUUCAAUGCACGGUUGCCGGAAGCCAUUCUUUUUGCAGAGAACUUUUCUUUCGUGUUGAGUGUGUUUAAGGUCAAGUUUCAAACUAUCUUGGUCUGGUUAGAAAUUAUAUAAAUGGUAGUAAUCAGAGUACGGUUGAAACGUGAGCCAGAAAACAAUAGUAUGCCUAAGCGUUCGAUUACAACAUCAAAUGCCUUCCCAUGACGACAGACGCUUUAAACGGCGGCAGUAGCGAAUUCUGGACGACAGGAAACGUACGAAAUUUACCUAAAUGGCGGGUGAAAAGUACGCAAGAAAAGGAAUGAAACGGGAGCGACCGAGAGGCUACUGGAAAAAGAGAGCAAAAGCGAAUCGUAGUUGGAAGAAGAGAAAACGAGAAUUG
rnacentral:misc_RNA from 1 species